GCCGCUUUGGUGACUCUGGAUAACCUCGAGCCGAUCGCACGUCCCUGUGGCGGCGACGACUCAUUCGAAUGUCUGCCCUAUCAACUUUCGAUGGUACUUUCUGUGCCUACCAUGGUGAUAACGGGUAACGGGGAAUCAGGGUUCGAUUCCGGAGAGGGAGCCUGAGAAACGGCUACCACAUCCAAGG
rnacentral:rRNA from 1 species